UACGUAGGGCGCGAGCGUUGUCCGGAAUUAUUGGGCGUAAAGAGCUCGUAGGCGGCCUGUUGCGUCCGCUGUGAAAUCCCGGGGCUCAACCCUGGGCGUGCAGUGGAUACGGGCAGGCUGGAGGCAGGCAGGGGAGAACGGAAUUCCCGGUGUAGCGGUGAAAUGCGUAGAGAUCGGGAGGAACAUCAGUGGCGAAGGCGGCCAUAUGGGCAGUAACUGACGCUGAGGAGCGAAAGCGUGGGGAGCGAACAGG
rnacentral:rRNA from 1 species